ACCACUCCAUGUUUCUUUUUCUUUAAUGAGUGGUUGGGUGUGCGUCUACAAAAACUGGUAGAUUUUGUUAGAGGAAAGGACACUUGUGUACACGUGUCACCGACACCUGUACAUCUUGCAUGACAGAGAGAGAAGGUGAAGUGCUCCUCUACAAAGCCAAGCAGUUUGAGUUCCUAUCUACUUCCUUUUCUUUUGGUCUGGUGAGAGUGUGUGGGUAACAGGAGAAGAUAAGAGAGGUACAUACACCGAAGGGUUCUUUCUCUCUUCUCGUUUCUUGACCUUCUUGUGGUGGCUAUUGUUCCUUUGUUCUUUUGAUCUCUUGGAGAGAAACCCUAAAUCUUGAUUGGGUUUUGACAUACAAAAGAGAGCCAAUUGUAGAUUUUUGGCAACUUUCCUUAAAAGGGUAUCCGUUGUUUCUCAGAUCUGACUCAUUCUUUUGUACAUUUUAUGCUCUCUCUUUCUUUCCAUUUUUGGGUAUGUUUUAUCUUCCACUGGGAGCUCAAAACUAGAACAGAAAAGGUUUUGCUUGCUUGUUUUCUUUCCCUUUUUUUUUUUCCAGCUUCUGGGACAUUAGAAAUUGACAGAAGAGAGUGAGCACACAGAGGCAUAUUUGUAUAAAAUUAUACCAUUGCUUUUGCGUGCUCAUUUCUCUUUCUGUCACUUCCAGAGCCGGAAUCUGAUCUCUUCUCUCUUUGAUGAUCAUCUUUUGGCCUGUUUUUUGCCCCAGAAAAUAAUUUGUUUCUCUCUAAAUCUUUUUUAAUUCCCUCUCUUUACACACCCAAACAAAGAGAACUCCUGGAGAUGAAAAGAUGGUGGUGCAUCGUAGGCAAAAAAGGAAAGGAAGCAGCAAGAUAUCCACUUGGGGUUUCGUUUUUGUUGUUUCGAUUUUAUUAGUUUAUUGUGUAUUAAAUUGUUGUUUAGUUUAAUGGCGUUGCUUUUGAUGGUAUUUAAGACUGAUUACUGUGCAACUUAUAGCGGAAAAACACUGUGUAGAGUAGUAUAUAUAUACAUAGCAUGGGACCGUUCCAUUCGCGAGAUCUCUAGCUAAGUUUUUCUGAGCAUGGUCCAGCUUACUUGCAAAGCAAAAACCGUUCUUUUCUUUUCUUUGCUCGUCUCUUGCGCAUGCGAUUAUGCUAUGUACUCGAGAUACGCAUCUGAUAUGACCUUGUUUUCACCUGAAUCUGGCAAGAAUCUAGUAGCUUGUACUUUUUUUUGUGAAAAUGGGUUUUCCUUUUUAUUGGCUCAAAACCCUAGUCUAGCUGCAGAUAGGGUUGCUUGUUGUACGAGUACAAGAAGGGGUUGCCGGUGAGUAGUCUUUGCUUUGCACUUGGUAAAACACUGAUCUGAUCUUUUUGCAUUGGCUCUUGGAAAUGGGUUUUGUUUUACAUUUGUGUUCUUGUUAUGGUACAUGUUCGAUCUGAUGUGAAUGUGAUAUUUCUUGUACGAAGAAGAGACAGAAAGUCUUUAAACUUAUCGAAUGAUGUUCUUUCCAGAAAUAGGAAAUAUCUGCAGCCAUAGUUGCUCUUUGUUGUAGUGUUUUUUUUUUUUUGAGCUUUUGCGGAUAAGCCAUGGAUAGUCAACUCAUUUAUCAUGGAAGGGACAAAAGCAGGUCUGCAAGCACUUCAGAUAGCAGACAUUCAGCAUUUAGAGCACAGACAUCUGUUUAUUUUAUGUAGUUUUUUACUAGUAAGGUACUUUCUCUACUGUAUAUUAUGCUAAGUGUAAUCUCUACUUCAUUAUUAUCUGCUUCAUUAUUAUCUUCUUUUGUUUGCGUAAGGAUUAUAAUUUGAACUUAUACAUGGUUUUAUCUAUAAAACAAAUCAUCUUGGUUUGUGAUUUUUGCAUUGCAAAUUUAAGCAACCAAUCACAUGGCUUGUUAUUCUUGUUUUCAAAUUGAAACACCAACCAGUUUCUUUCUUGUAUUCUGGAUUCACAUCAAGACAUAGUCCAAGAUUGUUGACAAGAUUAGAGAAAUGAAGGUGUGUUAUCAAGCCAAAGAUCGAAGUUUCCGAAUGCUGUGUUCUACCUUAGUCUGCAUGGUCUUGAUAAACUGUAAGUUAUGAUACAGCAUGAGUUUUGAUUAAACAUUUACUGAAAAUUCUAGAGACAUUUUUCAGAUUUCUCGUCUUUUGAUAAUUCCUUUUUAUCUGUUGUUGUCAUCAUUCUUGGUUUCAGCAACAAUCAUAUAAAUUGGAUUGAACUCUGUGCUACACUGCAAGAAAAUUUCAUUAUUUUCUAUGUAGAAUCAGAAAGAGUUGAUCUCUAAUUUUUUGUGUUUUGACUGCAAUACAACAUAACAUUUUGUUUGUUAUAUCAUGGAAGGGUCAUCCCGAAGAGUAUGAGCAUGGUGAUAGUUUUGGAUGAUGACUUAAGGGCCUUCAAUUGCUUUAGAGAACAAAUGGUGGCAAUGAUCCAUGGAGUGUUUAAUAACUCGCGCGUUGUUUGCCAAGGUGAUUUCAGCAGUAAAGAGAAGAAUACAUAUCAAAUGCAUAUGUUCUUGAAAUAUUAGGUGCACAUCAAGAUUAAAAUUUAAGCUUAAAGCAAGGGAGAAUGUGGAAAUUAACCUAGUAAUGACACCUUAAAGCAAUGGGGAAUCUUAUCCCAUAGCUAAGCUUGGAUUGUUCAUCACCCUCCUGGCCUCUCUAUUGAGGUGAUACGAUCUAGCACAAAGGUACUUGACACGUGACAAGAUGUAGUACAAAGCAGGCUCAAUUAACUUGACAAGGAAGCUGAAUCUCUCCCACAUUAUCAAGGUAGAUGAUGAAGAAUAUAGAGCCUCAUGCCUGCUUGUAUAGACAAGCUCGCCUGAUGCCUACUUUCUGGUUUUAGUUUUCUUGUGAAUUACAGAGAACUAUGUCUAGGGUUUCGUUACCUCUACCAAAAAGUAUCAACCAAAAUAAAUAAAUAAAAAGCGGAUACAAGGGCGGACUCGAGUUUUCACCAGGUCCCUGCAUACAUCGGCUUCGACAGCCUUAAAAGAUCUUGCAUGGAAAGAGAGGGGAGAUGCUGAAACAACUGCACACGAUUUUUACUAGAUCUUUGGAGAAAGAAAUCCGCAGAAAUAUGACUUACCUAACGUUUUUUCAGUGCCUGAGCUUGAUUUUUUUUAUGGAUAAACUUGUAUGACAGGGUGUGGAAACAGUUUAUCCACUUCUUUUCUGACUGAUGGGGACACAAAAUAGUGCCAUGGCGGGAAAAUACAGGGAUGAUUCCCAUAUCCCAACUGUUUCUUCUUCCAGUAGGUUGUACCGUUAUCUGUACUGUUUUUGAGAAGUACUGUGUUUUGAGAACAGGGCA